CGGACGGCGCGUGCGCGGGUCCUGAAGCUAAAAUGGCGCCGCCUGAUCGAGCAGGUGGUGGUCUGUGUUAACGUCCUCCUCCGGAGGAGAACGGGAAGAGUUGGUCUGGUUUGGGAUUCUCUCCCUCGAACGCCGCUCUGUGUCAGGUGAGGGUGAUGGCACCCUUUCUCGUGGAUUUGCACAUGCUACCCAUCAGAAGUAUAAUGUCAUUAGCCAGGGCCUGCUGGUGGCAUAUGUCCCACAGAGCAGAGGAUCAGCAAAUCCUUUUAUGUCAGACUGCACAACAAGAAGCCCACAGAUAGCGCAAUCCUGUCUUCUGUCAUGCAGGAAUUUGACAGCAGAAGGUGGACAACCGGGGAAACAACUGCCCUGCACGAAUGCUUACGAUGGCAUUGCGUGUAAAGCGUUCUUGCCAUAAAUUAAUUCAAUUGUCCGUGCAAACCCAGAUGGAAGAGACCUUUUUUGAUAUUCUCUCAAUAUGAGUUUCUUCGAUCAGGCACGAGGAAGCCAUUUUGAAUAGUGAGAAUCAAAAUGGAAAUUUGAUGCAGUCAAAGGAGAAGCUUCCUCCAAGACUCUGGUCUUUUAAUAACUAAGACUUUUUUAUAACAACUCUAAUUUUAAAGGGCUUUUUUAAUUUUGCAAGAGAGCUUGAAAGCAAGGAGUCUGACAUUCCAGUAGAGCCAUUGGUUAUAAAUCCAGCUGAAAAUGAAGAUAAAUUAGACCUAAUUAUAAAGUGUGCCUUUAGAUAAUUUUAAAUGUGAUUCUUGUCACAAUGUGUUUAAUAGAAUUGGACUUUUUUUUUUUGAAAAUAUUCAAUCGGGGCGUGAUAAGUGUGUUUGGGGAAAACCGCUACCAUGCUGUAGCUUGUCAUUAUCCCAAAUGGACAGGCAAAAAAGCAAUGCAAUUGAAUGGGGUCUUCUAGUGUGAAAGAUGUCCCCUUGCGUUUUCGACCGCUGUAGAUUUGGGGCAGCCUGAGACAUAAACAUGCUGCCCUAAGAACUACUAAAAGAAGCUAAAAUGUUAGUAAGAAGAGUAAUAGUCAAAAUAAGAAUAAACAAGGAAUUCGGUCCAGUGUGGAGGUAAUGAUGUUACAAAACCUGGAGAAGCCAUAUUCUGGUGGCAUAAAAUGAUAGCGGAACAGUUGAAGAAUAAAAUGCGUAAACAACUUUCUGAUAAAAGAUUUUUGUUUUUAGCUAAGCAGAGUAGUAGUAAAAGGAAUAGAGGACAAGGAAGAUGACAAAGAAAUCGAACGAGGGCAUGCUGAUAAUAAGGAACAAGAAAGUGAAGUGUAAGAGAGAUUAAUAAAUCUAGAGGAGAUACAAAUUAAAGCUGCUUACUGAGAAUAAAGAUGGAGAAAGGGACACGAUUGGAAAAACUCUAAAUGACCUGUUGGGCCAAAUAGAAGAUAAUAUUGCUAAAAAUAAGUGUAAUGUGGGAAAGGGAAAUAACAAAACGGACAAAAUUAUGACUAGCUUAUCAAAUGGAAAGCAAAUAACUCCGACGAAUAACGCAAGAAGGAGACUUGUAAAAAGGAAAAGUAGAUUUAGGCAAAUGCAAACGCUGUUUAAAUAUAAAAGGCAGUCCUUAGCAAGGGAAAUAUUGGGAGCUCCUGUUGAUAGUAUGUGCCCCCUUACGAAGAGGAACUCGACGAGUUCUUCCGUCACAAAUAAUCAAUGCCUAAUGAUGAAGCAAAUAUUACAAAACUUGCAAAAUAUUAAGGAGGAAGUAAACAACCAAAUUAUCCCACAGUCCGGCCAAUAACUGUGGAUGAAGUCGAUCAGGCCCUUAAAGUGAUCGACCCAAAAACCACAGCAGGGCUGGAUGGUAUGGAGAUGAAAGAUAUAAUGGCCAUGUAUAACGCAGGCAAUAAAACACUUCCAAGGUUGUCUGUUCUCAAUUUGGCUACGAACAAUCAGGAAUAUUGCAUGAAAAUUAAUAGAACAACACUAAUACCUAAAACUAAUGAUAAAGAAGAAUUGAAAGAAAUAGAUAACUGGAGGUCGAUAACAGUUGGGCCUUUUUACUCAGGAUCUUUACUAGAAUAAUGGCUAAAAGGCUAAGUGGAAUAAUUGGAUUAAAUAAGCGACAAAAAUGAUUCCUUGCAGGAGUUUUGGGUCAUGACCAAAAUAUUAAAAUCUUGAGUAAUAUUAUUAAAGGAUUGAAGAAGAAAAAAUAAGUAUUAGCUAAUGUAUUUAUUGAUUUAGCUAAAGCUUUUGAUUCAGUUGGUCAUAAGGAUAUUAUUAAAGCCCUAAAUAGAUUCUGUCCCAACAGAAUUUGUUAAAAUAAUUACAAAUUUAAAAGGAUAUAGAUGCAAAGCUAAUAAAAUAGAGAUCUUUAAAAGGCAUGAAACAGGGUGAUUCGUUAUCACCCAUUCCUUUUUAAUAUAAGCGUUAGAUCCCCCUCAUUCGUUCAUUGGAAGAGAGUACCAAAGGGAUCUUUUUAGAUCCUGAUCUUGAAAGGCAUCAUUGUGCAACAUAAGGCAAUGUCAUGCAUGUAGGCUAAAGUUGAACCUAUGAAGAAAUGUCUUAUAAUCUUAAAUUAGUGCAAACGUUCGGUGAUAAUACAGGGCGAACGUGAGAAAAACGAAAGGGAUCCAUUUUUGUUUAAAGAAUAAAAUGUUUAUUUAUAAUAGUAGGAAAAACUGGAGUCUUAAUAAUGAAAUACAGUAUAUAUAGCCAGGUAAUACAGAAAAAUAUCUCUGGGUGAAAAUAGCUCCAUGGGUGGGAAUAGGUACAUCCAAUUCGGAAGAAUUGCUGAGAGAUUGAAUAGCAAACCUAAAGAAAUCGCCUUUUAAAACCACUACAAAAGGUUUUUAAAACUAAUUUUAUUCCAAGGUUGUACUAUUAUCUCACAUUAUUGGAAGCUUCUCAAAAUGAUCUAAAUAAAUUUAGAUUUGAUAAUUAGGGGUUUUAUUAAGGAAGUUUUACACUUUCCACAAUCUGUAACAGAUGGCAUUUUAUAUGCACAGAACAGAGAUAGUGGGUUAGGAUUAAAUAAAUUAGCAAUACUAAUACCGAUUGCAGUAUUGUGGAAAUAUGAAGCUUUUCAAAGAGCUCCCGAUUGAGAUUUUACAAGCCUCGUUCCGUUUUAAUGAUUCUAGAAUGUCAAAAAUUUGGCAGAAUUGAGUCAGCUGACGAAUUUGUGAAACUUGGGAUCCUCAAAUAAUUGGCCUGUCCGUUGGCGCUCCAAGUACCCAAGUUAUGGAGAGUUAAGAGCUAGUGGAAGAUAUUAACAACAAUUAUGGUAAAUGGAGAAACCGGAUUACAGAAUUUUGUGACACUGCCUUGCCAAGGGUUGGGAAUCCAUUAUUUUAAAAACAACAAUAUAUCUCCUGCCUGGACUAAAAGAUUAUUGUGUAUGAGAACAUCCAGAGCUAUUAAAACAAUUCUGUUAAGGACAAAUCUAUGAAGGACUACUUUCUCUUAUGGAGGACCUUUACAUCACCUGCAGUUUGUAUUAUUUAAUUUGGCAGUUGAAACGAUUCCUCACUUCUCUGGAUGAUAAUUUCAGUAAAAAAAAACAUGAGGAUAAAGAAUCGCAAUAACAUAGCUGAUGUUUGAACCCAACUUGUUCAGAAGAAUGGAUGGACAAUUUUUGUUGAAGCCCAUUUUAAAAGAUGCUGACCGGAAGUUAUGGAUACCCGACUUUAAUUCUGUUUAAGGAUGGUCAGGCGGUGCUGGGGGCCAUCACAGUAUGUUUUGAAAAGGAAAACGACUCACUUAAACAAGCUUAGUUGGAGAAGUCGGUGAAAUAUCAGCAUUUGGAGAAGGUGAUACUGGACCUUUCGAAAGGGGCCAAUGUAUUCUUUUAUGGUUUUGUCGUAGGAGCUAGAAGGAAAUGGUGUGAUAAAAAUAUGUUGAUGAAGUCGCUGGGUAUAACUAACUAAGCCAUUUGUCCGCAAUAUAUCCAGCCUUACGAUAUCUCUGACGUUGGGGAUACACCAGAUUUAUGUGGACAUAUGAUGGCCUUCUUGUAGGCUCUCUUUAUUUUAGGAAUAUAGUUAUAGUUUUAAAUUUAGUUAUAGUUUUAAGAUUAUUAAAACACUUUUAUUGCUUAAAAUAUUUAAAACUUUAAAAAUUUUAGCAAUAAAGUAGAGUAUUUUUAGCACCGUAAGGUGGUGGGCAGUUGGGUGUAAAUUAAAAUUUUCACUAAACACAACAGACAAUGUGGAUAUGAGGUAGCUAACCUGUUGGUUUUAUAACCCCUGAAUGUCCUUGUAACAUCUGGCUGUGGUGCAGCUGUAAAGUGGUAUACUCCGCGUCGACAAGUGACGAGAAAAAACACAAAAUAGACACAAUUUAUACAAUAGAUGUCGAGUGUUCAAAAUUUGCCCAGUCUUUCUGCACCACCAGCCGCUGACCUUGAGUUGAGGUAGAGACUGUCUCACAGCUCAUUCUGAAUGUCAGAAGAGUCAUCUAGAUUCGAUGUCCGCUUGCUCUCCCCAUUGAUGCUGUUUGACCCACUGUGAUCUCCAUUUGUUGUUUUCGGAACAGAUUCCAACAUCUGCAGGAAUUUGCUCCCGCUUCUUCCUUUUUUUGGAAUGUGUCUUUGCGAAGGAAGUCUGGAGAGAGGUUUGUCGUGAGCAGCUCUGUGACAUGGGACCCUGUCUGUUCCCCAGGACACACACCGAGACAACUAGCGACUGCACCCAGAGGACCAUCCACCUACUGAAAAAUGCUCUUUGGUCUUCCAGAGCUAGGAGUUGACCCUGGCCGAGUGUUGUAGACUGGCAUAGUCCAAGAUGCAGGGUGACGUGCUGAGGGGGUGCACUAAAAGCUUAGGGCAGCUACCACCAAGGCACAGUGGGGAAAGACCACUGUCUGAGGCCAUUCAGCUAAAGAUAAAUGGGGGUCUGUUCAGUUAUCACCCCCUCCCCAGUGCCUUAAAUGUAUG